AUACGUAGGGUGCGAGCGUUGUCCGGAAUUACUGGGCGUAAAGAGCUCGUAGGUGGUUUGUCGCGUCGUCUGUGAAAUUCCGGGGCUUAACUCCGGGCGUGCAGGCGAUACGGGCAUAACUUGAGUACUGUAGGGGAGACUGGGAUUCCUGGUGUAGCGGUGAAAUGCGCAGAUAUCAGGAGGAACACCGGUGGCGAAGGCGGGUCUCUGGGCAGUAACUGACGCUGAGGGGCGAAAGCAGGGGUAGCGAACAGGAUUAGAUACCCUGGUAGUCCAUGCCGUAAACGGUGGGCGCUAGGUGUAGGGGUCUUCCACGACUUCUGUGCCGUAGCUAACGCAUUAAGCGCCCCGCCUGGGGAGUACGGCCGCAAGGCUAAAACUCAAAUGAAUUGACGGGG
rnacentral:rRNA from 1 species